rnacentral:rRNA from 1 species
UGUUGUCCAAGUUUAAGGUGGUAGGCUGAAAUCUUAGGUAAAUCCGGGGUUUCAAGGCCGAGAGCUGAUGACGAGUCGUCUUUUAGAUGACGAAGUGGUUGAUGCCAUGCUUCCAAGAAAAGCUUCUAAGCUUCAGGUAACCAGGAACCGUACCCCAAACCGACACAGGUGGUCGGGUAGAGAAUACCAAGGCGCUUGAGAGAACUCGGGUGAAGGAACUAGGCAAAAUGGCACCGUAACUUCGGGAGAAGGUGCGCCGGCUAGGGUGAAGGAUUUACUCCGUAAGCUCUGGCUGGUCGAAGAUACCAGGCCGCUGCGACUGUUUAUUAAAAACACAGCACUCUGCAAACACGAAAGUGGACGUAUAGGGUGUGACGCCUGCCCGGUGCCGGAAGGUUAAUUGAUGGGUUAGCGCAAGCGAAGCUCUUGAUCGAAGCCCCGGUAAACGGCGGCCGUAACAAUAACGGUCCUAAGGUAGCGAAAUUCCUUGUCGGGUAAGUUCCGACCUGCACGGAUGGCGUAACGAUGGCGGCGCUGUCUCCACCCGAGACUCAGUGAAAUUGAAAUCGCUGUGAAGAUGCAGUGUAUCCGCGGCUAGACGGAAAGACCCCGUGAACCUUUACUGUAGCUUUGCACUGGACUUUGAGCCUGCUUGUGUAGGAUAGGUGGGAGGCUUUGAAGCGUGGACGCCAGUUCGCGUGGAGCCAUCCUUGAAAUACCACCCUGGCAUGCUUGAGGUUCUAACUCUGGUCCGUAAUCCGGAUCGAGGACAGUGUAUGGUGGGCAGUUUGACUGGGGCGGUCUCCUCCUAAAGAGUAACGGAGGAGUACGAAGGUGCGCUCAGACCGGUCGGAAAUCGGUCGCAGAGUAUAAAGGCAAAAGCGCGCUUGACUGCGAGACAGACACGUCGAGCAGGUACGAAAGUAGGUCUUAGUGAUCCGGUGGUUCUGUAUGGAAGGGCCAUCGCUCAACGGAUAAAAGGUACUCCGGGGAUAACAGGCUGAUACCGCCCAAGAGUUCAUAUCGACGGCGGUGUUUGGCACCUCGAUGUCGGCUCAUCACAUCCUGGGGCUGAAGCCGGUCCCAAGGGUAUGGCUGUUCGCCAUUUAAAGUGGUACGCGAGCUGGGUUUAGAACGUCGUGAGACAGUUCGGUCCCUAUCUGCCGUGGACGUUUGAGAUUUGAGAGGGGCUGCUCCUAGUACGAGAGGACCGGAGUGGACGAACCUCUGGUGUUCCGGUUGUCACGCCAGUGGCAUUGCCGGGUAGCUAUGUUCGGAAAAGAUAACCGCUGAAAGCAUCUAAGCGGGAAACUUGCCUCAAGAUGAGAUCUCACUGGGAACUUGAUUCCCCUGAAGGGCCGUCGAAGACUACGACGUUGAUAGGCUGGGUGUGUAAGCGUUGUGAGGCGUUGAGCUAACCAGUACUAAUUGCC